CAACAGGUCUUCAAUGUAGCGAGAAAUUCCCGCACCCGGAGGCGUCCUUCAGCUGGCCCCUAAACAAAUAUAUACUAGUUCAGUGAUAAUGAACGCCAUACUAAUUUCCAAAUUGUACACAAGAAACUAAAAUUAAAAUAAUACAAGACUAACAAAGGCCAGAGGCUCCUGACUUGGGACAGGCGUAAAAAUGCGGCGGGGUUAAACAUGUUUGUGAGAUCUCAACCCUCCCCCUAUACCUCUAGCCAAUGUAGAAAAGUAAACGCAUAACAAUACGCACAUUAAAAUUCAGUCGAAGAGAUGUCCGAGUCUGAUGUCAGAAGAUGUAACCAAAGAAAAUAAACAAAAUGACAAUAAUACAUAAAUAACAACAGACUACUAGCAGUUAACU
rnacentral:lncRNA from 1 species